UACGGAGGGUGCAAACGUUGCUCGGAAUCAUUGGGCGUAAAGCGCACGUAGGCGGUCCAGCAAGUCGGGUGUGAAGGCCCUCGGCUUAACCGAGGAAGUGCAUUCGAAACUACUGGACUUGAAUACUGAAGAGGAUCGCGGAAUUCCCGGUGUAGAGGUGAAAUUCGUAGAUAUCGGGAGGAACACCAGUGGCGAAGGCGGCGAUCUGGGCAGAUAUUGACGCUGAGGUGCGAAAGCGUGGGGAGCAAACAGG
rnacentral:rRNA from 1 species